AAAGGUUUCCUUCAACACACACACAAUAAGAUGUCUCGGUGUCCCAGAGGUCUUCCAGGUCGAGCUGCAGCGUGAGAAACCCUCCAAUCAGAGCAUUCGAAAACGACCCAUUAGAGACCAGAUCAUGCUGGACCUGAACCCAGCUGUGUGUCCAUGGAGACACUACUACUUUAAAAAAGAAGCUGACCUGACCUUGAGUGGUGAAUAGAAAUGGAGGAGAGGCUACCUGAAAUGGAGGAGAGAGGCUUGACGGAGAGACUUGAAUGGCAGAAGGAGAGAACUGCAAUGGAAAGG